rnacentral:tRNA from 1 species
GGGGCUCUAGCUCAGUGGUACAGCACCUGCCUUGCAUGUAGGAGGCACUGGGUUCGAUUCCCAGCACCA